rnacentral:rRNA from 1 species
CCUACGGGUGGCAGCAGUGGGGAAUAUUGCACAAUGGGGGAAACCCUGAUGCAGCAACGCCGCGUGAAGGAAGAAGGCUUUCGGGUUGUAAACUUCUUUUAAGAGGGAAGAGCAGAAGACGGUACCUCUUGAAUAAGCCACGGCCAACUACGUGCCAGCAGCCGCGGUAAUACGUAGGUGGCAAGCGUUAUCCGGAUUUACUGGGUGUAAAGGGAGCGUAGACGGCCAGACAAGUCAGAAGUGAAAGCCCAGGGUUCAACCCUGGGACUGCUUUUGAAACUGCCGGGCUGGAGUGCAGGAGAGGUAAGCGGAAUUCCUAGUGUAGCGGUGAAAUGCGUAGAUAUUAGGAGGAACACCAGUGGCGAAGGCGGCUUACUGGACUGUAACUGACGUUGAGGCUCGAAAGCGUGGGGAGCAAACAGGAUUAGAUACCCCUGUAGUC